UCCGGUUUAGCACCGGCAGUCUUUCCAGAGUCCCCGGCAUUACCCGCUGGCAACUGAAAACGGGGGUUGCGCUCGUUGCGGGACUUAACCCAACAUCUCACGACACGAGCUGACGACAGCCAUGCAGCACCUGUGCAGGAACUCCGAAGAGGGCGCCUGGUUUCUCAGGCGUUUCUCCUGCAUGUCAAGCCUAGGUAAGGUUCUUCGCGUUGCGUCGAAUUAAACCACAUGCUCCACCGCUUGUGCGGGUCCCCGUCAAUUCCUUUGAGUUUUAACCUUGCGGCCGUACUCCCCAGGCGGUCAACUUCACGCGUUAGCUUCGUUACCAAGGAAUAACUUCCCCGACAACUAGUUGACAUCGUUUAGGGCGUGGACUAC
rnacentral:misc_RNA from 1 species